ACAGUUGGCUGAGAAUAUUAGUUUCUCCAAGGAAUUUCACAAGUGCUUUUUGUAUAACAUAUUGGUUGGAAAUGGGAAUAGAUGAGUUAAUGCCGAGUACAGUAGGUUGGAAGUUUGGGCAGUGGAUAAUGAUGUGUUCAGAAGUAAGAGAGAUGUGGCAUGUUCGGCAUUGGGAGUCUAUUGUGUCGUCUAUUUUAGACAUGAUAGGUGACAACUUGUUAUGCCCACUGCGAAGUCUAUGGAGUUUACGGUUGAUUGGAGUUGAAAAUAUCAGAUGCCAGGGGAGGGGGCCCAUUUCUGUACGCAGCAUAGCAUUUAUCCUGUUUGAAGAGCUUUGUAUAGAGGUGAGAUUGGGAGGAUGUGUGUCCAAGUUUGGCUAGGGAGUCAGCCCUUUCAUUUCCUGCAAUACCUACGUGGCUUGGGAUCCACAGUUUAAUUAUUUGUUUCUUAGAGCUUCUUAUAUCUUCUUGUUUUUGCAGGAUCUUGUUAAUUAGAACACUUUUGGUGGAUUUUGAACCUGUAGUCAAUUGGAGGGCAGAUAGAGAGUCACAUACUACUCCGUCGUUGAAGAGCUGCGA